GUGAGGAAUAUUGGUCAAUGGGCGCAAGCCUGAACCAGCCAUCCCGCGUGCAGGAAGACGGCCCUAUGGGUUGUAAACUGCUUUUCCGGGGGGAGAAUUUUUCCGUCGUGACGGGAAUUGACGGUACCCCGGGAAUAAGCAUCGGCUAACUCCGUGCCAGCAGCCGCGGUAAUACGGAGGAUGCGAGCGUUAUCCGGAUUUAUUGGGUUUAAAGGGUGCGUAGGCGGAAUGAUAAGUCAGUGGUGAAAACCUGCAGCUUAACUGUAGACUUGCCGUUGAUACUGUCAGUCUUGAGUGUGGUCAAGGUAGGCGGAAUGUGUAAUGUAGCGGUGAAAUGCUUAGAUAUUACACAGAACACCGAUUGCGAAGGCAGCUUACUGGGCCAUUACUGACGCUGAUGCACGAAAGCGUGGGGAUCGAACAGGAUUAGAUACCCCUGUAGUCC
rnacentral:rRNA from 1 species